UUCCAUCCACCACUUCAUGGUAGAUGCUGAACUGCGAGAGGUCCAGGUCUGGGAGAACGCAUUUGAUUUGCUCGAGUGCUAGCUCGAAUCCGUCUGUAAGGGCAUCAGCACCCACAUUCAUCAAAUCAGCCUUCUCCACCUCCAGUUCUUGCUUUGAAGCCUCCGCAGCAUCUCUCUCAGUGGUGACGGCAGCAAGGGAGGAGGCAGCUUCAGACAGUUUGCCCACCACCUCCUCAAGUCUUUUCUCCCC
rnacentral:lncRNA from 1 species